rnacentral:rRNA from 1 species
UGGGGAAUAUUGCACAAUGGGCGAAAGCCUGAUGCAGCCAUGCCGCGUGUGUGAAGAAGGCCUUCGGGUUGUAAAGCACUUUCAGCGAGGAGGAAGGUGGUGAGCUUAAUACGCUCAUCAAUUGACGUUACUCGCAGAAGAAGCACCGGCUAACUCCGUGCCAGCAGCCGCGGUAAUACGGAGGGUGCAAGCGUUAAUCGGAAUUACUGGGCGUAAAGCGCACGCAGGCGGUUUGUUAAGUCAGAUGUGAAAUCCCCGGGCUCAACCUGGGAACUGCAUUUGAAACUGGCAAGCUAGAGUCUCGUAGAGGGGGGUAGAAUUCCAGGUGUAGCGGUGAAAUGCGUAGAGAUCUGGAGGAAUACCGGUGGCGAAGGCGGCCCCCCUGGACGAAGACUGACGCUCAGGUGCGAAAGCGUGGGGCAGCAAACAGGAUUAGAUACCCUGGUAGUCCACGCUGUAAAACGAUGUCGAUUUUGGAGGUUGUGCCCUUGAGGCGUGGNUUCCGGAGCUAACGCGUUAAAUCGACCGCC